UAAGUGAAUGCCUAGAGGAAUGUGAAGCCACAUGGAUGCAGACACACACACUCAAGAGGGACUAUGAGGAGGUCGAGCAGCUCUUCCAGCAGCAGAGGGAAGCUUUAACAGCAUCGCAGAGGAAGCUGAGCCCAUUAAGGAGCAGUUAAGUAACUGUGAUCAGGAGGUGGCGAGGAGAAAACAGCAUAAAAAACACUAUGAGGAGAAAUGCAAAAGCCUCAUGGACAUGAUAGAGGCACUGAAGAGAAGCCUUAAUGAGAAAGAGGAAUUACAGCAACAGCCAAGAGUUUGGGCAGUGAGAUCAGCCGCCUCAAACUCAAGAUUAACAUGCAGCAGGAACAACAAGGAGACAGAGACACUAUUGUCAGGCAGUACCAUGAGACGAAGGAGAACUUCAUCAAUAUUGCCCGACAGGUCAAGGGCCUGGAAGCCUUUAUUCAACAGUUAACCAAGAUCAUGAACAUCAGUGGCAAGGCUGCUUUGAUUGUCAUGGUUCUUUAUCUGGAGGAGAGCAUUCAUUUUCUACUGUAUGCUUCAUCCUAUCACUGUGGGCCAUAGCUGAAGCUUCAUUUGUCUGCCCUAGAUGAGUUUGAUGUCUAUAUGGUGAAAAUGUAUUUAUAGUCCUAACACCCUGUUGAUUGUACUCACCACUUUUUCAAAUAUCUGAUCCCAAAAAACAUCUCGGUUACUCUUGUAACCUCUGUUCCCUGAUUGAGGGAACGAGACAUUGUGUCGAUGUACUUACAUUAGGGGUCGCUCUUGGGAGCCCCAAACACCUCCAAUCUUUGAGAAAAUGCCAAAGAGAAUUGGCGAGCGGAAUUUGCAUGCCACUCCCCCGGACAUACGUGUAUAAAAGAUGCUGAAAUGCGGCCACUCAUUCAAGUUUUGUGCUGAGGAACCGAGACAAGGUCCUGGAUAUUUAAGCGGAUAGUACAGCAUUGUGGCUAGAGGGACACAGCCAUUAGGGAACAGAGGUUACAACAGUAACUGAGACAUUCCCCUCCUGUCACUUACUCAUUGUAUCGAUGUAGUGACACUAGGGGUCCCUAUAGAAAAACACCACAACAGCUGUUAUGUGUUACGUGCUGAUGCAGGUGCAAGCAAGCUGCUGCAUGCGUAAUAGCAAGUGCACGCAACCUCCCCCAAUGCCCCACGAGACAUGUAGUUCCCCACACCCCUGAGGGGGCAAGCGACGUGACUAGCAUGGGAGCAGGCCAUGUAGUUUCCCACACCCCUGAGGGGGAGAAGCUAAAUGACUAGCAUGGGAGCAGGCCACGCCAGCCAGGGUGGCGGCGUUCUCGCCCUGCGCCGAGGUGAAGCGGGUGCCUGGCGAAAUGUAUAGUGUAGCCAAAUCAGAUGGUCCUGGCCAGUCACCACGACAGGUUGGAAGCAUCAGCCACGCGUCCAAGCUCGGGGCGAGGGGCACUAAGAGGACAAUCGUGUCUGACGUACCUGGAGGUGAGUCCUCACAGAGGGGGGGAGCAGGAAACGCCACCUCGAAGCACUUACCUCCCUCCAUAUGCCCGGGGUCGGAGAUGGGGGAGGAGGGCUUUUGACCAUCCUCGUAGCUCGUCACAACCGCCUGGCCGUGGGUGUGAGUGUGAUGCGACCGGGCACGCUAAGGCGGGGGGCCCGCAUUCGUGGCGUCCAGGCCGCAGGUGCUCGGUGUCCGGUUGCCGUGAUAACGCCGGUCGUAAACACCGGUUGUGUCACUCAAGGAUUGAGGAAACCACUCUUGAAAAUGUGGGUACCGCAGCCUGUUCGGGGUGUGGUGAACACAAAAAAAAAGGGAAGAGAGAGAACCAAACAGCUGCCAUUUGUGUUUUUUGUCUUUUUGUUUAAAUUAAAUAUUACUUUGGCUGUUCAGCAGGUUCCCGCCUCCUCCUUUCCCAUUUUAAACCCUGUUACAUACACAAAUAACAAUAAUCUUAAAGA